GAGCAUCUUCUAGGAUCAUGUAGUCGGAGAUUAAAAAGAGUUCUACUUUUUCCUUUCCAACCUGGAAGCCUUUUAUUGCAAUUUCUUAUCUGACUGUACUGUCUGAUAUCUCCAGUGCAAGGUUGAAUAAAAGUAGUGAAAACAGACAUUGUUACUUUGCUACCAAAAUUAUAGGCAAAGCAUUCAGUCUUUUGAAGCUUUCAUGUUUAAGGUGAGUGUUUUUUCAUGCCGUUAAUCAGGAUGAGAAAGUUCAGUCUGUUCAUAAUUUGUUGAGAUUUUAUUAUGAUUGGGUACAGGUUAUUUUGUCAAAUU
rnacentral:lncRNA from 1 species